GUUUCUGUAGUGUAGUGGUUAACACACCGCUCACAUCGCCAAAGGUCCCCAGCUCGAAACUGGCAGAAACA
rnacentral:tRNA from 1 species